rnacentral:rRNA from 1 species
GUCUUAGCUUGCUAAGGCUGAUGGCGACCGGCGCACGGGUGAGUAACACGUAUCCAACCUGCCGUCUACUCUUGGCCAGCCUUCUGAAAGGAAGAUUAAUCCAGGAUGGCAUCAUGAGUUCACAUGUCCGCAUGAUUAAAGGUAUUUUCCGGUAGACGAUGGGGAUGCGUUCCAUUAGAUAGUAGGCGGGGUAACGGCCCACCUAGUCAACGAUGGAUAGGGGUUCUGAGAGGAAGGUCCCCCACAUUGGAACUGAGACACGGUCCAAACUCCUACGGGAGGCAGCAGUGAGGAAUAUUGGUCAAUGGGCGAUGGCCUGAACCAGCCAGGUAGCGUGAAGGAUGACUGCCCUAUGGGUUGUAAACUUCUUUUAUAAAGGAAUAAAGUCGGGUAUGCAUACCCGUUUGCAUGUACUUUAUGAAUAAGGAUCGGCUAACUCCGUGCCAGCAGCCGCGGUAAUACGGAGGAUCCGAGCGUUAUCCGGAUUUAUUGGGUUUAAAGGGAGCGUAGAUGGAUGUUUAAGUCAGUUGUGAAAGUUUGCGGCUCAACCGUAAAAUUGCAGUUGAUACUGGAUGUCUUGAGUGCAGUUGAGGCAGGCGGAAUUCGUGGUGUAGCGGUGAAAUGCUUAGAUAUCACGAA